GACGAACGCUGGCGGCGUGCUUAACACAUGCAAGUCGAACGGAAAGGCCCUGCUUUUGUGGGGUGCUCGAGUGGCGAACGGGUGAGUAACACGUGAGUAACCUGCCCUUGACUUUGGGAUAACUUCAGGAAACUGGGGCUAAUACCGGAUAGGAGCUCCUGCUGCAUGGUGGGGGUUGGAAAGUUUCGGCGGUUGGGGAUGGACUCGCGGCUUAUCAGCUUGUUGGUGGGGUAGUGGCUUACCAAGGCUUUGACGGGUAGCCGGCCUGAGAGGGUGACCGGCCAAAUGGGGCCUGGGAUACGGCCAGACUCCUACGGGAGGCAGCAGUGGGGAAUAUUGCACAAUGGGCGGAAGCCUGAUGCAGCAACGCCGCGUGCGGGAUGACGGCCUUCGGGUUGUAAACCGCUUUCGCCUGUGACGAAGCGUGAGUGACGGUAAUGGGUAAAGAAGCACCGGCUAACUACGUG
rnacentral:rRNA from 1 species